rnacentral:lncRNA from 1 species
GAAAAGAGGAUGUGGAACCUCUACUUCAGAUAAAGAGGAGGAAGGAUGUCACUGGAAACUAUAAAGUACAUUUCAUCGACCCCACUCCUGCCAUAUUUACUCUUAACUCUUUGCUUCAGUUCUAGUCCAUCUCACUUUACCCACAACCUUCUGGUCUCUUUCCCCCAUAGCUUUUGCUUUCCCAUGGAAGUCCUUUGAACCCAAAAGCUGAAGGAGCUUGUAGAAAUCUAAGUAAUGCAUGCUGACCUGUGGGUAGAUACCUCUGGCCCAAUAUCUCCAUGGUAGCAAUUCUAAGGAAUAGUUGUCUGAGUUGUCAUGAAGCCAGAAGUAGAAAAUAGCAUAUGCUACAGUCUGAGAAUUUCAGAUGGACACCUGUCCUUGGGAAAAGUUGAGGGAAAGAUGUUGGUGUGGCCCAAGGUCCUAAAGCAUGGAACAUUGGAUUGGCACUUCACACUUUGUGGGAUUCUGAGAAGCAAUUUCUUGCAUGACCAGGUGAUUAUUCAUUUGGAAAGGCAUUUGACUCCAAAUGAAAGAAUUGAAAUGGAUAAUACAAUGGAUAGAGUGUUGGGUGUGGACUCAGGAAGAUAUGAUUUCAAAUCUGACCUCAGACACUGGCUUUGUGACCCAAAGAGAAUUAUCUUCCUCAACUUUAAAAAGGGGGUAAUAAUAGUCCCGACCUCACAGAAUUAUUGUGAGGAUAAUAAAAUGAGAUAAUGAUUGUGAAGUACUAUGUCAAUGCUAUUAUUAUUAUUCGAGUAAUUAU